rnacentral:lncRNA from 1 species
UUUUUUAUUGAAGUAUAGUUGAUUUACAAUGUUGUAAUAAUUUCUGCUGUACAACAAAGUGACUCAGUUAUAUAUGUACACACAAUCCAUUCUCUUUCAGAUUGUUUUCCCAAUAGAUUACCACAAAAUAUUGGGUAGUGUUCCCUAUGCUAUAUCCAAGAGCACAGCAUGUCCCCAUUGGCCAAUCAUUCCAUAUAACUCAGUGGGCAUAUGCCAAUCCCAAACCCCCAGUCCAUUCCUCCCACUCCACCUGUCUCCUUUGGUAAACAUAAAUUUGUUUUCAAAGUCUGUGAGUCUGUUUCUGUUCUGCAAGUAAAUUCAUCUGUAUCGUUUUUUUUAGAUUCCACAUACAAGUGAUAUCAUAUGAUAUUUGCCUUUCACUAACUUCACUUAGUAUGAUAGUUUCUAGGUCCAUCCAUGUUGCUGCAAAUGGCAUUAUUUCAUUCUUUUUCAUGGCUGGGUAAUAUUCCAUUGUAUAUAUGUACCACAUCUUCUUUAACCAUUCCUCUGUUGUUGGACAUUUAGGGUGCUUCCACAUCUUGGCUAUUGAAAAUAGUGCUGCAAAGAACACAGGGGUGCAUGUAUAUUUUUGAAUUAUGGUUUUCUCUGGAUAGAUGCCCAGGAGUGGGAAUCUGGAUCAUAUACUAGUUCUAUUUUUAGUUUUUUGAGGAAUCUUCAUACUGUCCUCCAUAAUGGUUGCACCAAUUUACAUUCCCACAAACAGUGUAAGAGGGUUCCCUUUUCUCUGCACCCUCUCCAUUUAUUGUUUGUAGACUUUGUGAUGAUGGCCAUUCUGGCUGGUGUAAGGUCGCACUUCAUAUAGUUUCGAUUUGAAUUUCUCUAAUAAUUAGCAAUGUUGAGCAUCUUUUCAUCUGUUUCUUGGCCAUAUGUUUGUCUUUUUUGGAGAAAUGUCCAUUUAUAUCUUCUGCCAAUUUUUGAUUGGGUUAUUUGGGGUUUUUUUUAUGUUGAGGUGUACAAGCUGUUUAUAAUCACUGGAUAUUAAUCCCUGAUUGGUCAUAUCAUUUGCAACUAUUUUUCCAAUUCAGUAGGUGGUCUUUUCAAUUUUUGGAUGAUACGCACCCUCUUCAUAAGAAAAAGUUCUCAUAGACCUAAAAUACCACUUAGAUAUUUUUAAUGUACUGAUAUUUACAUCUGUGCAAACUUAAAACUAGGUGUAAGCAUCUUAUUUUUAUUGCUCUUACAUAACUAUAGAAAUUUGUAUGUUAAAUUUAAACCAAAAUAGCAUUCAAAUUAAUGAUAUUAAUUCAAUGUGACAGAUGACAUCAUUGCAUGGAAACAAAUUUCCACUCCUAACAUCCAACUGGCUGCCCCAGUACAGCUUCUUUUGAACUCAGCAACUUAAACCACUUGGGCCACAUGAUAGUUUUACUUACUUGAACUAGGGUAAAACCUUUGCUAAUAUAGCAAAAGACAGUGACUUCAUUGAACUUCAACGGUCCCAAAUGCCUCAUUUUGGGGUACAAAGUCCCUCUGCCUUCUUUUUUGUGUCAGCUGUUGAUAAUUAUAGUAAUGCCCACUGGUACAAUAAAAACACAAACACACAUGCUAACACUGAAAUCAACUCUCAGUACUCAAUGCUAAGGCAGCCAUUCAGGUGACCUACCAUUGAUUAUAUUUUUUCAAUGCCAUCUAGAUAAAUCAAAGUAAUUUGAAAAAUGGCACAGAGAGCUACACAUUCUGGAUAAUAUGCAAAACUAAUGAUGAAAUCUAACAUACUCAUUGUGGCAACAGCAUAGCUCAAAGCAACUAGCCCAAACUAGGUGAACCUCAGAGGUGGUAAUGGGUUAGAGAGAAGAGGGUAAAUAUGAGAAUUUUCAGUAUACUCUCUGGACAAGAUGCCAACAUCCAAUGGAUGUGGGGAAGAAGGAAUGCAAGGGUGGAUUCUGGAAUGCCUCCCAGGUUCCCAGUCUGACCAUGGACAUGCAUCAGGGUGAGCAAACACAGAAGAGGUAGAGAUUUGGGAAGGAAAGGCAAGUUCGCUCAGGCGUGUUGAAAUUAAAGCACCCUUGAGACUAAACCUUUAUCCUGAAUGCAGUUAUGUAUAUCAGACUGCACAGUCAUGAGUGAGGACUGGCUCAGAGAAAAAGAACUGGGAGUUAGAAAUAAGUGGUUGGUGAAGUAUUUAUAUAGAUGAGCUGGUGCACACACAGAGAAGUAGAAAGUGAGAGAAGAGGAAAGCAAUAAAAACGUUCACUAAAGAACUAGCCAUCAGAGGCAGUGGUAUAACCACAUGUAUAAAUCCACAAAUCCUAUGAAUUCAGGAUGAUCUAUGCUGAUGGAGGAAAACUGUAAUACGCAUAAUGUGAAAAACCAAUACAAACAUCGCUAUGUCUUUGCAUCGCCACAGAGAAGAAAGAAGUGUUUACAGAAGAUUUACUUGUGUUUGCUUAAACUUCGUGUGCUCUACCAGAAGGCACAUUAACUUAAAUAAAAGGGCAAAAUGGUAUAGAGUGUGGCAGUCAUUGCAGUUACCCACUCAAUAUCCAUUUCCCUUUCUUGACUUAAUCUUUCUCAGGGCAUCAGUGUGCCCAGCCGAGAAAUGCCUUUCCCAGCCUCUUUUGCACCUAUGAAUGGCCAUGUGACACAGUUCGGGUGGGUGCAAUGUAAGUAAAAGUCAUCAGAUGGAACUUCUGGGAAGGCUUUUUAAAAAGUAAAUAGACUCGGGGCAGUUCCCGUCAUGGCGCAGUGGUUAACGAAUCCGACUAGGAACCAUGAGGGUGCGGGUUCGGUCCCUGCCCUUGCUCAGUGGGUUAACGAUCCGGCGUUGCCGUGAGCUGUGGUGUAGGUCGCAGACGCGGCUCGGAUCCUGCGUUGCUAUGGCUCUGGCGUAGGCCAGUGGAUACAGCUCCGAUUUGACCCCUAGCCUGGGAACCUCCAUAUGCCGCGGGAGCGGCCCAAGAAAAAUGGCAAAAAGACAAAAAAAUAAAAUAAAAUAAAAUAAACUUCUUAAAAAAAAAAAAAGUAAAUAGACUCGGGGGACCAGAUGCUUUGUCUUUACCCUGAUGACGGAAACAUUAUAAUGAAGACAGAGUAACCAUGCUGUGACCUUGAGGCCCCAAGAACAUGAGUUGAAAUAGAGGAUGGUCCUGGGGGCUUCUUGGAACCCCAGCACCAGAUCUAGACCUCCUACUUCCAAAUAUAAGUAAGAAUAAUAAAACCUCUAAUUUUUUGUCGCUGUUUUCCAUUUCUUUAGGUCUUGGGGAAUUUCUACCCACCCAAAAGCCCUAUUAGAAAACUAUCUUAGGGGAGUUCCCAUUGUGGCUCAGCACUAACAAACAUGACUAGUAACCAUGAGGAUGUGGGUUCGUUCCCUGGCCUCACUCAGUGGAUUAAAUGAUCCAGCACGGUCGUGAGCUGUGGUGUAGGUCACAGAAGAGGCUCGGAUCUGGUGUUGCUGUGGCUGUGGUGUAGGCCGGCAGCUGCAGCUCUGAUUCAACCCCUAGCCUGGGAAAAGAAAAAGGAAAAUGGUCUUAGGUAAAAUCUCUCCUUAAAUGGCCUGUAAAGUUAACAUACUGUCUAGAGGGAAAUGAAGAGUUGCUUCUUACCUAGGUACAACAGGAAACCUGUCACUUGAUUAAACACAGCAAGAGGAAAAUGGAGAUGAGGCCAGGAGAUGAGCUGCCCAUGUUAAGUAGAGUCCCUCUGAGAUCCUGUCUACCAAACCUCCAAACUCUAACAUCCUCCACCAUGUUUUUAUUUGGGGUUUGCGUUUUCCUCCUAUCCUUAGCAUAGUGGAGGAAAAAGGAACAUAAAUAUGAAUACCACUAUUUACUAACAAUCAGUGGCUUCUCACUGUCCACUCAAUGAAGUAUAUGUAGGAUAAUUUAUUAACGAUCGAUUGGUGAUUUGUAUUAUCAGUGUUUUCCUUCCCUAUUCUAUUACUCAGGUUCACUGCCGCCUGACUUCCAAGGAGCUUUAGGGUAGAAGCUUGAAGGCCAGUUCCCUAAUACUCCUGCCUGCUGUUUGGUCUUCAAGAGCUGGAGUUCCAUUAAGGGUAUUAUGCUGGAGGAGGGAGGCAGAAGCAGAUGCAGCAAAGGAGAGAAGAGAGAUAGCCCUGCACGCAAAGGGCAUGGUGGGUUCCACAAACAGCAGGGACCCAUGUCAUUCUCCCGGCAGUGCCCGGAAGAGGGCACAGGGCCUCUGAGGGCACAACUGUGUGGUGAAAUGAAGGAGGCUGUACCUUGGACAACAGAACUCCAUGUGCAGAAAGAUUCCUUUGGCCCCAAAGAGCACAGAAACAGAACCACUGCCAGUUAAGGGUCUGUGACAGCUUUGACAAGAGGCUAUACCAUGAUGAGCUGAAAACUAGGGCAGCUCCCCUGUUUUUUAUUUAUUUGUUCUUUUUCCUUUUCUUUCUUUUUUUUUUUUUCCUUUUUUUUUUUUUUUUUUUUUUUCCUUUUUUUUUUUUUUUUCUUUUUUGGCUGUCCCAUGGCAUAUGGAGUUCUCAGGCAAGGGAUCAGAUCCGAGCCACAGUUGCAACCUACGCCACAGCUGCAACAACACCAGAUCCUUAAUCCACUGUGCCAGGCCGGGGACUGAACCUGCGU